AAAAAAAUAAAUAAAGCAUGAGCAAUAUCACAUGCUAUUUAUGAGUUAUUGAGUUUAAAAAAAGAGCAUAUUCUUUCAUGUAUAUCUUCUCUUCUCUUGUAUCUCUCUCUCUUCCCCAUAAUACCCUUUUCACUAGGGGUGUACACAGUUUUUGGUUCUCCCAAAUUGAAAAGAACCUGAACUUAAAAAGAACUAUUACCGCAAGAAUUGAACUAUAUCGAACAAAAGAACCGAUUUUACACAUUUUUUUAUAAAUAUUACAAUCAAUUCUCUUCUCUCUAAGUUCUAU
rnacentral:misc_RNA from 1 species